rnacentral:rRNA from 1 species
AUUGAACGCUGGCGGCAGGCCUAACACAUGCAAGUCGAACGGUAACAGGAAGAAGCUUGCUUCUUUGCUGACGAGUGGCGGGCGGGUGAGUAAUGUCUGGGAAACUGCCUGAUGGAGGGGGAUAACUACUGGAAACGGUAGCUAAUACCGCAUAACGUCGCAAGACCAAAGAGGGGGACCUUCGGGCCUCUUGCCAUCGGAUGUGCCCAGAUGGGAUUAGCUAGUAGGUGGGGUAACGGCUCACCUAGGCGACGAUCCCUAGCUGGUCUGAGAGGAUGACCAGCCACACUGGAACUGAGACACGGUCCAGACUCCUACGGGAGGCAGCAGUGGGGAAUAUUGCGCAAAGGGCGCAAGCCUGAUGCAGCCAUGCCGCGUGUAUGAAGAAGGCCUUCGGGUUGUAAAGUACUUUCAGCGGGGAGGAAGGGAGUAAAGUUAAUACCUUUGCUCAUUGACGUUACCCGCAGAAGAAGCACCGGCUAACUCCGUG